rnacentral:rRNA from 1 species
AGAUUGAACGCUGGCGGCAUGCUUUACACAUGCAAGUCGAACGGCAGCACGGGGGCAACCCUGGUGGCGAGUGGCGAACGGGUGAGUAAUAUAUCGGAACGUACCCGGAAAUGGGGGAUAACGUAGCGAAAGUUACGCUAAUACCGCAUAUGCCCUGAGGGGGAAGCGGGGGAUUCGUAAGAGCCUCGCGUUUUCGGAGCGGCCGAUAUCGGAUUAGCUAGUAGGUGAGGUAAAGGCUCACCUAGGCGACGAUCCGUAGCUGGUCUGAGAGGACGACCAGCCACACUGGAACUGAGACACGGUCCAGACUCCUACGGGAGGCAGCAGU